AUGGAUGGCGCUGCCCCGCGCCGGCUCGGCGGCGCAGACCGCGGCGAUCGCGCGGACCGCGGCCUCCGAGGCGCGCGCGUCCGUGGCCGGGCCGGCGUGCUGCUGCAGGAGCGGCAGGAGCGCCUGCCACACGCGCGGCGAGGCGGCCACGACGAGCGCCAGGUCCCGCGUCGCCGCGGCCGUGGCGACGGUCUCGAGGAGGCGGCACAGGCCUGCCUUGGCCCGGCCGCUGCCUCGCCCCAGCAGCCGGACGAAGGACGCCAGGUUGUCCUCCUUCUUGAGCAUGUUGAGGCAGUCGAGCUGCGGCGCAGCGGCGUUGGACGGCAUGAGGCUGAGCGCGCACUGCAGCGCGAGCUCCUCCGCCUCCGCGUGGCGCUCCGCUGGCGCGGCCGGCGCGGCGUGGAAGACGAGCGGCAGGAGCACGCACAGGAACCCCAGCUGCAGCAUGCACGCGCGGCCGACGUCGGACUCGGACGCCAGCGCCAAGACCUUCUUGAGCGCGCCGAUCUUGGCGGCGACGGAGGUGGCGUCGGACUGGAGGCAACGCUUGAGCGCCGCAAGCGAUGGAUCGUCGUCCGCCGACUCCGGGAGGCUGUGGUCGGUGGCGGCGGAGAGCCAGCGCUCGAUGAGGUGGCGCAGGGUGCGGUUGGGCACGAGCACGGUGGUGUCGCCGUCGCCGAGGGCCUGCAUUGUGACGGGGCAGGUGCGGUGGCCGUCGGCGAGCCACCGCUCGAUGCAUUGACGGUCGUACGUCUGCCCCGUGCACAGCGUCACCGGGUCCGUGAAGAUGUCGAGGCUGAUCGGACACCGGAACAGGUGCGGCACGCUCAUCUUCGGCACCCUCAGGCAGAGAUCAACACGAAUCCAGCAAGAAAUGGAAGAAGCUACGACGCCCACACAAGAGCACGAACCCAGCAAGAAAUGCCUUUGUCCAAGCAGGAAAAAGAGAAAAACAAACCACUCCACUCAUACCAACCAAGAACUCAUCAAGAAAACCCCCAAAAGAUGGCAAACAAAUCUGCAGCUCCGGCCGAUCGGUGGAGAAGCCCUUGUAGGCCGCGAUCGACUUAUUUCGAGGAAUGCGGUCACACAGAAAGCUUUCUUUAA
rnacentral:rRNA from 1 species